rnacentral:rRNA from 1 species
AGAGUUUGAUCCUGGCUCAGGAUGAACGCUGGCGGCGUGCCUAAUACAUGCAAGUCGAGCGAGAAGCUACUUUGAAGCGUUUUCGGACAAUUCUGUGUAGUGGAAAGCGGCGGACGGGUGAGUAACGCGUAGGCAACCUGCCCUUAGCAGAGGGAUAGCCAUUGGAAACGAUGAUUAAAACCUCAUAAUGCCAACUUAACACAUGUUGAGCUGGCCAAAGAUUUAUCGGCUAAGGAUGGGCCUGCGUCUGAUUAACUAGUUGGCGGGGUAACGGCCCACCAAGGUGACGAUCAGUAGCCGACCUGAGAGGGUGAUCGGCCACAUUGGAACUGAGACACGGUCCAAACUUCUACGGAAGGCAGCAGUAAGGAAUCUUGCACAAUGGGGGAAACCCUGAUGCAGCAACGCCGCGUGAACGAUGAAGGCCUUCGGGUUGUAAAGUUCUGAUCUUGGGGAAGAAGAAAGUGACGGUACCCAAGGAGAAAGCCCCGGCUAACUACGUGCCAGCAGCCGCGGUAAUACGUAGGGGGCAAGCGUUAUCCGGAAUUACUGGGCGUAAAGAGUGCGUAGGCGGCUUUUUAAGCGCGGGGUUUAAGCCAACGGCCCAACCGUUGUUCGCCCCGCGAACUGAAGGGCUUGAGUACAGGAGAGGAAGGCGGAAUUCCUAGUGUAGCGGUGAAAUGCGUAGAUAUUAGGAGGAACACCGGUGGCGAAGGCGGCSUUCUGGACUGAAACUGACGCUGAGGCACGAAAGCGUGGGUAGCAAACAGGAUUAGAUACCCUGGUAGUCCACGCCGUAAACGAUGAGCACUAKGUGUCGGGCUCGAGAGAGUUCGGUGCCGCAGCUAACGCAUUAAGUGCUCCGCCUGGGGAGUACGCACGCAAGUGUAAAACUCAAAGAAAUUGACGGGGACCCGCACAAGCAGCGGAGCAUGUGGUUUAAUUCGAAGCAACGCGAAGAACCUUACCAGGGCUUGACAUCCUCCUGACGGAUCGGGUAAUGCUGAUCUUCUCUUCGGAGCGGGAGUGACAGGUGGUGCAUGGUUGUCGUCAGCUCGUGUCGUGAGAUGUUGGGUUAAGUCCCGCAACGAGCGCAACCCCUGCUGUCAGUUGCCAUCAUUCAGUUGGGCACUCUGACGGGACUGCCGGGGACAACCCGGAGGAAGGCGGGGAUGACGUCAAAUCAUCAUGCCCCUUAUGACCUGGGCUACACACGUAAUACAAUGGUCGUAAACAGAGGGAAGCAAUAUCGCGAGAUGGAGCAAACCCCUAAAAGCGAUCUCAGUUCGGAUCGUAGGCUGCAACCCGCCUGCGUGAAGUUGGAAUUGCUAGUAAUCGCGGAUCAGCAUGCCGCGGUGAAUACGUUCCCGGGCCUUGUACACACCGCCCGUCACACCAUGGGAGUUUGUAACACCCGAAGUCAUUAGUCUAACCGCAAGGAGGACGGUGCCGAAGGUGGGAUAAGCGACUGGGGUGAAGUCGUAACAAGGUAACCGUA